AGCACCCUGUGGCAACUAAAAACAUUUGUAACUCCAGUGCCAAGCCCUAUGAUUAGCCUCUUCUAGCCUCUAUAGGCACCAGGCACUUACUUGGCACAGCAGAUAUGCAUGCAGGUAAAACACUGAUACAAAUAACAUUCUAAAAAUAGUUUUUUAAAAACUUAGGUAUACUCUUACCUUGUCACCAAUUCUCUUAAGGAUUUAGGCUAUCCUCCCUUCUGCUUUCUGUGCUUCAAGUAGAGCCUAGAUUGUCAUAUUCAUCAUUAAGUAGAUAUGAUCAAAUCUAACUAAUUUAUCUUCUGGAAAUGUUUAUCCCUUAGUAGGAUGGUUCUUAUUUUUAGUUGCAGAAAUCUACAUAUUAAAGCAGGUUACUUUCUUACCUUAGCUGAUAGAUGAUCUUCAGUAAGUAGCUGUGAAUGGAUGUUGGUAAUAAGGGAAAUAUGUCUUAAAUCUUACUCAGUUUGGAGUUUCAAUUUUGAGAACAUAUUUUAAUGAAGAAUUCUGAAGCUCAUUCUGCAUGUUAAGACUUUCUGGGUUUGUGCCAUGACUGUUUUCCUGUUUUAGUCCUUGGCUUUAUCAAGGUUGAGAUUUGGCAUGUUAACAGUUUGAAAUUCUUAUACUUUAAAAUGGUACAUGUACACGUUGAACUAAAUUUUAAAAUGAUAGUACCCUGUCCAUUACAACAUUCCCUAGAAAGAAAACAUGAGGCUAUCAUUGUUUACCUUGUAUUACUUUUGUAGAGUUAUAUAAAAAGAUGUGCUUUGAGGGUGUAGAUUUUUUUUUUGGUUUGGUGUGUAUCAAUGCAGAAAGCCAUGAAAAAUGUUCUAGAAAGGUAUAGAAAGGAGUGUUUGAAGUAAUAGAAAAAGUGUCCAUAAGGAGGCUGUUAAGAUAUUUUUACAAGAAUGCCCUUUUUCAUUCUUUAACUGAUGCCAAGAUUUUGACCCUGUUCACUAUUAUUUAUUAAAGUUGUAUGCAUUGUUACUUGGCAGACUUGACCCCACCACAAGAAUAACUAUAGUCAAAAUUUAUGUAUUAAAAGAAAGAGUAACAGUUAAUCUAGAUGUUGAAAACAGAUUUGUAUCUCUAAACUUGAGCCUUCUGAUUCUGCUUCUACCAAAUAUCUGAUUAAAGACACUAUUGAUAUAUAAUCUACUACUGUCACAAUGUGUUUGAGGAAAGUGUUGGAGAUGUCUAAAAUCAGUUUAAGCUCGAUAUGUUACUCUGUUUUAUACACAGAAAUAUCCACCCAGUGCAACCACACUACACUUUGAAUUUUAUGCAGAUCCUGGAGCUGAGGUCAAAAUUGAGAAGAGGGUGAGUCAGGUUAUUUUGUUGUUAUUUAUAGACUCUCUUAGUUUAAAUGAGGGGAUGUUUUGUUCUCUAUCACUGCCCUUUGAAGCUAGAUAUACCUAGAAGCUCUUUAGGAAAAAUUAAUCAUAUGCCUACUUCUCACAUCAUUAAUUUUUUAAAAUUAUUUAUCUACAUUCCAUUCCACCUUACCUUUCCAGUUCCCUCUCCCAGAGUUCCUCAUCCCAUUCCUCCUCCCCCUUGCCUCUAAGAGGGUGCUCUCCUCUCCCACCCCACCCCCAUCAUUAGGUUUUAUGCUGGGACCUGCCAAAAGUUACAACUCCUUUUAUUGGGCAUUACCAUAUUUGUGUGUUUGCUCAGAGUCUCUGGAAUGUAUCCUAAUAGUCUUAGUUGGAUUUCAGUUUCUGUAUUUAUCUCAGUCUAUUAAAAAGAGCUCUGGUUUGCAUGUAAAAUGUUACUUAAAUGAUGUUCUAAAUUCCUGGAUGAUCUGCUAUGACUUGGUUUGGCAUGGAAACUCCCCAAUGAUUUUUCUUCCACUUUCAUUGUUAAAUUUUUUUUUCCAGAAUAAAAUUGUCUUCAAAACAUGAGAAAGUAUUCUCAUGUAUUCUGUCUUUGGUAUGAAUACUAAAAUUGUGGAGAUAGUUAGACAAGGGUUAAAAAGGAACACAAAAUAUGAAACAUGCCUGGCUAACAGAAUUAUAGUUAAAUACUACCAGUUUGAAAGAAGCAUCUUGUGACUGUUAUAUGUGGGAAAUGGAUGCUUUUAAUGACUAUGAAAUUACCUUGAUUCUCAGUGUUUCUUACAGGGUAUUUAGUGAAUCCCUAACAGGUAUUUCAACUUUUUAAUUUCAGACAACUAGUAAUACACUACAUUAUAUUCACAUAGAACAACUUGACAAGGUAAGAGAAUUCUUUGACAACUGGUUAGUUCAUUUUUGUUUGUAGCCUUGUUCUUAACUAAUUUUUUUCUAAUACAGAUUUCAGAAAGUCCUUCUGAAAUAAUGGAAUCUCUUACCAAAAUGUACAGCAUUCCUAAGGAUAAGCAGGUAAAAUACAUCUGAAAAAUAUCUUGCAUAUUGUGGAUUUCCAAAUAUACUAAUAAGUUGGGCAAACAGAAGCCAUAGCAAAAUUGAUAUACAUUUGGAGUCUGACCAUAGCAGAUUCGCUACCUAGAUUUGUUUCCUCUUCUUGAGGACAAUAACUUCUAGCACCUUAUGAUAGAUUGGAAACAUAAACUUGUAAGCUGAUUCAAAAUGAUUAUCUAGUAGUGGUGAUAACUUUCUCAACAUUUUGGAUACAUUUAGGAGAAUUCUAUUGUGUUAGCUUGUUCUGUUCUUUUUGGCAGUGGUCGGAUAUUUAUUGAAAAUUUGAAUUAUUAUCUAUUAAUGUGUAUUGACAAUUUUUGAAAUAGUAGUAUAUUGAGAGAUCCCUGUUUUGCCACUCUAGUUCUGUCAUCUAAUCUCAGAGUAAAUAAUACUAGUUCAGUUUGAUACUCUAGCAACAAAACUAUUUUACCAAGCAGCAUAAAAGUACACAACAGCUCAAGAACCUAUCCUUUGUAGUGAUUUACUAAUAUAAGUCUUACAUCUCUACAGAUGCUGUUAUUUACACAUAUACGACUGGCCCAUGGCUUUUCUAAUCACAGGAAGCGGUUACAAGCUGUUCAGGCCAGACUGCAUGCAAUAUCUAUAUUAGGUAAGAAAACACUAAUUAACUGGUCCUAAGUAGGCACUUUGAAUUUGAUUUCUGAUGAGUGCCAUCUAUCUUUAAUGCUACGAGGCUUUAUUAUGGCAACCUAAAUUAUAAAUGUAUUUGCUCAUCCCAGUUACUACUGUAGUCAUUCAUCAUCUUGAGCUCCUUUAUGUACUAGAUAAAAGGAAACUUUUAUUGCCCAGUUACAUGGGCUUGGUUGUCAUCAUCUUGUCCCUGUUAUUCUUGAUAAUCCCUUGUCCAGUUCUCCCAUCUUUUCAGAGGUAUAAUUUUGAAGUCUGAAAAUAAUUAAAUGGUUAAUACUCUAUACUUUUACUUUGCUAUAGGAGAAUAUAUAGGAGGUUUUGUUUUUAAUUAUGCAGAAUUCUAACAGGCCAUUUUCAUGUAAGCAUAUAAUGCACUUUGAGUGUGUAAUACCUACUAUAGCUCAUUUCUCUCCUUUUUGGCCAAUUUUACCUCAUAUUUGUUCCCCAGAUAAUUUUAUUUCUAUUAUUAUGUCAUCAGCACAUAACUGAUUAUGUGUGUAAAGAGUGUGACAUACAAAUGAGAGAUAUGUUACUUGUCCAUUUUGCAUGAAGUUGCAUCUGUUUUUCUACAAAUGACAUAACUUCAUCUUUAUGUGGAAGUCACAUGUUUUUGAGGCUCCCACCAUGGUUCUGAGAAUUGUAUACCUACACACUGUAUUCCCUCAGGCAACUUCAAGUACGUUAUAUUUGGACAGUAUUUAUAAGCUAUUUUAAGAAAUGAAAGAAAAUCCUGGAAAUUGUCCUGUCACAUGCUAGGCACAUUACAAGGCAAAAAAGGACAAGUAUCACUAUUACUACCUACUUUCAUUUAGUUUCUGCCUACAUACUCUUAGAACUGACUACAUUGCUAUGUUUGUGUUCAUACCUAGUACAAUUUCUGGCAUUAUAAUGAUUAUCCAAAAAGUUAAUGAAUGUACUCACGUCUCGGCCAUAUUUUACUUCAGAGUGUAUGCCACUAUUACCUCAGUGUGUGAUUCAGC
rnacentral:lncRNA from 1 species